CAAUAGCGUAUAUUAAAGUUGUUGCGGUUAAAAAAGCUCGUAGUUGGAUUUCUGCUUGGGGUGGCCGAUGUGCCUUCUGGGUUACAGCCGGUUCAGCCUGAGCAUCUUCUUGGGAAUCGUGUCUGCACUUGAUUGUGUGGCACGGGUUCCAGGACUUUACUUUGAGGAAAUUAGAGUGUUUCAAGCAGGCGUCCGCCUUGAAUACGUUAGCAUGGAAUAAUGCGACAGGACCUCGGUCCAUUUUGUUGGUUUCUUGGGUUGAGGUAAUGAUUAACAGGAUGGUUGGGGGGCAUUCGUAUUUAACUGUCAGAGGUGAAAUUCUUGGAUUUGUUGAAGACGGACUACUGCGAAAGCAUCUGCCAAAAGAUGUUCUCAUUGAUCAAGAACGAAAGUUAGGUGAUCGAAGAUGAUCAGAU
rnacentral:rRNA from 1 species